UACAGAGACUGCAAGCGUUAUUCGGAUUCACUGGGCGUAAAGGGUGCGCAGGCGGCCUUGUGUGUCAGAUGUGAAAGCCUGGAGCUUAGCUCCAGAAUUGCGUCUGAAACUACAAGGCUAGAGCAUUGGAGAGGGUAGCGGAAUUCAUGGUGUAGCAGUGAAAUGCGUAGAUAUCAUGAGGAACACCAGAGGCGAAGGCGGCUACCUGGACAAUUGCUGACGCUCAGGCACGAAAGCGUGGGGAGCAAAAGGG
rnacentral:rRNA from 1 species